AGGACGGCAGCGGACAUGUCAGCCUCGCUUGCGCCCUGUUCUCCGCUGGGGCUCCUCUGAGAAGUUGCUUUUCCUGCCCCCAGAGGCAGAAUCUUCGGCUGGGAGACGCUGCCUCAGGCCAGGCGAUUGGGGGAAGCAGCCGGAAAAGGGGUAAGAAGGGAACAGAAACCUGGGAGGCUGGCAGGCCUGACUGCCUUUCUACUCCCUCCUGGCUUAGGCGCCUUCUUUUGAUAGACACUCAUGGAAUCGUAGAGUUGGAAGGGGCACCCGGGGGUCAUCCAGCCCAACCCCCUGCAAUGCAGGAAUCUCAGCUGAAGAAUCCUUGACCGAUGGCCAUCCAACCUCUGCUUAAAAACCUCCAAGGAAGGAGAUUGCACCACCUUCCGAGGGAGCUGGAAGCCAGAGCUAUUCCUUCCUUCCCUCUCCCUCCCUCCCUUCCUUCCUUCCUUCCUUCCUUCCUUCCUUCCUUCCUUCCCUCCCUCCCUCCCUUCCUUCCUUCCUUCCUUCCUUCCUUCCUUUCUUUCUUUCUUUCUUUCUUUCUUUCUUUCUUUCUUUCUUUCUUUCUUUCUUUCCCGCUCCACUUCCUGCUCCGCUCCUGCUUCCCUCCCUCGCCUCCUCCUGGGGGUUUUCCGGAGCCUGGGCUCCAGGCCCACAACCUGGCAGCCGCCCCACCCUGCUCUGUGGGGCAGAGGGAAGCUGAGAGCCUGCAGGCCUCCUCCUCUUUGGCGAGGGCAGCCAGCGCUUCUUGGGUGCCUGCCUGCCUCUUGCCGGCCACCCCUGGCAUCUUCCCUCCCCUGCCGCAACCUGCCCAGCUGCCGCCAUCUUAUCGGGGCAUCAAAGGCGGCCUGCUGGCGCACAGCCCGGCCUGCCAGCGGGUGCUGGAUGAGGCCCAGGAGUCCUUGGGACUUUGCCCUGCGGGGUGUGCCCAGCCGUUCCGCGGGAAGGGGUGAAAGGGCCAGGCCCCUUCCCCCUGAGCAUGUGCAGAGUGCAUCUCUUGAUGACGAGGCAGGGCGAGCUGCAGGCGGGCCCGGAUCUCCUUCCUCGUCCCGUUAUUAAAGAGGGCAACCUUGGCAUUAGAGUUUAGACUCGUCGGAUGGUAGAGUCGGGAGGGGACCUCCAAGGGCCAUCUAGUCCAGCCCCCCCAAAUGCAGCAAUCGCAUUUCAAUUGGAAGCGGGGCUCAGCGAUGCCAGCCUUCAUUUUGCCAUCCUUCAUCCUGUGGGUUACAAACCGGUCAGACAGUAUAACGCGGCACGGACAUAAAAAGUGAAGGAACAAGAGUGCCCCUGAGCGCGUGCGGAGUGCACUUGCCUCACCACUCAACCGCAGCCGGUUGGAGGCAAGCAGACACCUGCCCUGGGGUUGCUACCACCUGGCCAGAGCCUGCAAAGAGAGGGGGCAGUCUAGGCACUGAUCAGCCAUGUUGGGAGGGGGGGGCAACCAGCCUGGGUCCCCUGGAGCCCCCUCCCUUUCCUCAGCCCCACAUUCUCCGGGAUUGGGGAGCUCUUGGCCUGAGGCCUCCUUCCUGCCAGGCGGGGGUUUGACUAGAUUCCAAUUCCUGGGUUCUGCGGAGGCUUCGGCUGCCGGACUCCUGGGUCCUCUCCCGGACUCCUGGGUCCUCUCCCUGCCCUCAUGCUCCAGGGCUGGCAGGCUCCUUGCCUGGCCCCACCCUGCUGCAGGAUCCAACUUGAUAUGGGGGGGGCAAGAGGAGGAGGAGGAAGGGCCCUAGCUGCACCCUCCCUGCCCAUCAGCACCCGCAGGGGGCGGCUGCCGGCUUGGCAAGGACAGACUGUUCCUGCUGGAGUUGGCGUUCAGCUUGGCCUCGCCCGCCCCCCUACCUGUGGGCCUCGCAGGGAGGGCGUGUAGGGGCUUGCAUGGCGGGGGGCGGGGAGGGAGAGAGAUGGAGGAAAGUGGAAAAACUUGGGGUGGGGGAGCAGUUGGGUUGCCUUUAAAGUGGGCAUGGGAAAGGGUUUGCCAAGUUGUGCCAGCAGGGGUGCCCAGGAUGCACCUUGCGCUCGUCAAAAGCUAAGAUCCUGGAGCCACAGACUUGCAGGCUUGGAAGGGACCCCCAGGGGACAUCUAGUCUAAGCCCCCGCAAGGCACAAAUGCAUCCAGGACAGAUGGAGAGGUCAGCCCCAUGGGUGGGGGGGGGGCUGCGGGAAAAAAAAAAAAGGCAAAUUCCACGCUGGGGAUCCUCGGAAAGGAAUUGGGAAUAAAACGGAUGCUGCUGUACAAAUCUCUGCUGCGACGGCAUUGGCAGUCCUGUGCCUGGUUCUGGGUGCCUCGUCUCAUAACGGAGAUCGAAGAGCUGGAAAAGGUUUCGAAAAGGGCAGCCCAUAUGUUCAAGGAAGGAAGGGAAGGAGUCACUGUGGCAGCAUUUGGGACUUUGUAGUUUGGAGAAGAGCUAAAAGGCAAAAGGUUUCUCAGAAUAUGCCUGGGGGGAGGGCAUUGUUGUUUAGUUGUGUCCGACUCUUCGUGACCCCCUGGACCAGAGCACGCCAGGCACUCCUGUCUUCCACUGCCUCCCGCAGUUUGGUCAAACUCAUGCUGGUAGCUUCGAGAACACUGUCCCACUAUCUCGUCCUCUGUCGUCCCCUUCUCCUUGUGCCCUCUAUCUUUCCCAACAUCAGAGUCUUUUCCAGGGAGUCUUCUCUUCUCAUGAGGUGGCCAAAGUCUUGGAGCCUCAGCUUCAGGAUCUGUCCUUCCAGUGAGCACUCAGGGCUGGUUUCCUUCAGAAUGGAGAGGUUUGAUCUUCUUGCAGUCCAUGGGACUCUCCAGAGUCUCCUCCAGCACCAUAAUUCAAAAGCAUCCAUUCUUCGGCAAUCAGCCUUCUUUAUGGUCCAGCUCUCACUUCCAUACAUCACUACUGGGAAAACCAUGGCUUUAACUAUACGGCCUUUGCUGGCAAGAUGAUGUCUCUGCUUCACCUUGCAGAGAGGAGGAGGGCAUGGAGAACAGUUUUCUUGUAACCCAAGAAUUCGUGAAGAUUCAGGACAGAUAAAAGUCUUUCUUCUAGCAGCACAGAGUUAAUCUGCGGAACUCCGUCCCACAGGAGGCAGGGAUGAGAACCAACUUGGAUGUCUUUAGAAGAGGACUGGACAAAUUCACAGGGGAGGAGGCAGAACCAGGUGGGUCCUUGGCCUGACGCAGCAGGCAGGCUCUUGGGAUGCUUUUACGCACAGGGCCAUCAGCGCCAGACCAGCUCCAAGCAUGAAUCAGCCGCAAAUUUCACAGGGCACCAGAGCUCCAGGCUGCCCACUCCUCCAGCUCCAAGGGCCUUUCCCUGCCUGCAGGGAGGGCGUCAGAGGAGCCAGCCAUCCCAGUCUCCCUGUGGGUCCUCUCCCUCCCAGGUCGGGUGAGAGGGAUUAGCUGUUCCUCCUCCCGGUGCCAGGCUUUGGCUGGACCCACCCGCUUCCUUGUGAUCAAGUUGGCAAGAGCAGCCGAGCCAGUUCUUUGUCCACCGGUCAAGAAAGGAGCCUCUGCCCGUUUGCCUGUCUUUGGGAAGAGGCUCUGGAUCGGGGCCGGCGACUCGUUUGCGCUCCAGGGUGUGAUCCUGGUCAGGUUGGAGCCCCCAGAGAUGGGCAGGACCCCCCGGGAGACAGAGGGAAGGGUAUGUGCUUUUGCAGGCUGGCUUCUCCUGGUGGCACACGGUGGAUCAGCGCUGUGCCACCAGGCCUGGCAUGCUUCUGUCUGGCCAGCUGCCCAGAUGCAUUGUGGAUUGGCCGUUAUGGGGGGGGGGGAGCAGGAUGAGUGCCGGGCCUGACCAAGGGAGAAGAGAGCAGGACUAGGACGUCCCUUGAUCUGGACACUCGACUUCUGCGGAUGCAGCCGAGAAUAGCCUUCGCUUGUUUUGCUGUAGCAUCACAAUUUUUGCCAACCAGGACAGCAAAGCAGUCUUGCUGUCUUGUUAGGUUCAUGAGCCCAUUCAUCCCCAAAGGAUCUGGGUGGAAUUCAGACCUGCUAAAACUUUCCCCUUUAUCAUGUACAUGAAAUGUAUUAAGGUCAGAGACCAGCUUUUGAGAAACACAAAUGGAACUACAAUCCCAACAGCAAAACAAACAUUUAAAACAAUAUACAACAAUGGAUUUUAAGUUUAGAAGUGCGAAAGGCAUGUAAACAUGUGAUCGAAGGUAAGGUAGUCUAUUUUAAAUGUGUUUAUAUGCCUUUCGCACUUCUAUCACAUGUGGUGGACCUGUCCCAAGGUGAAAGACUUCUGGGAAAAGAUAUAUAAUGAAUUGAAAAAAAUGUUGAAAUAUACAUUCAUAAAGAAACCAGAGGCCUUUCUUCCCAAGAAAGAUGUUAAAUUAUUUUUGUAUGCCACAGCUGCUGCUCAUAUUUUAUUAGGUAGCUAAAAAGUGGACAACCCAAGAAUUACCAACGAUAGAAGAAUGGCAGAUGAAGAUGAUGGAUUUUUUGGAGCUGGCCGACCUAACUGGAAGAGUCCGCAACCAGGAAGAAUGGAAAAAAAUUAAUGAUUAUUUGAUUAAAUAUGUUAAGUUAAAUUAGUUGGAAAUAACUUGCAGAUAACUAAUUGGCUUAGGAUUUUAUAUAAGUUAAGUGAUGAAUCAAUUUGUAUAAUUUCAAAAUGAAAAGACUGAAAGAUGUUAAAGCUAAAGGUAAAUCUUAUAAGAACUGUGAUUUGGAAAACCGUUAAAUGGAUAUGCAUGGAAAUUCAACCAAGGGGAAGCGAGGAAGUCACUUAACAAUGUUAGUAAGUAUAAUUUUUAAUAAGAUUAUGAUUUGUGCUUGUUUGUUUGUUUAUAAUUUUUUGAAAAUUAAUAAUUUUUUUGGAAAAAAAUAAAAUAAAUAAAAUAGACUACCUUAGAGAAA